CCAGGCCAUUAAGACCUGAUGGAGGGACAAUAGAGCCCUGAGUACCAGGCCAUUAGGACAUGAUGGAGGGACGAUAGAGCCCUGAGUACCAGGCCAUUAAGACCUGAUGGUAGUGAGCUAGUGUUUUGUGUACUACAUCAUCCAUUUAGUAUGAUGUGUUUAUUUUUUGUUGCAAUUCCAUCCUGGACUGCAUCUUCAAGGAAUUACAGUGAAAUUCCAAUUCUCUACUAUGCUUUUUGAUAAGGACAAUUUGGAAUUGGAAUUUGGUUUACUUUUUGAAUUGCCUGGAAUUUAAAUGUAAUGGACACCAACCCUGUGGUGAACACAGCUCUGGUUUGAAGGGGAACCCUGAGCUGACCAGGUUCAUUAAGGUUGAAGGGGAACCCUGGGCUGACCAGGUUCAUUAAGGUUGAAGGGGAACCCUGGCCUGACCAGGUUCAUUAAGGUUGAAGGGGAACCCUGGGCUGACCAGGUUCAUUAAGGUUGAAGGGGAACCCUGGCCUGACCAGGUUCAUUAAGGUUGAAGGGGAACCCUGGGCUGACCAGGUUCAUUAAGGUUGAAGGGGAACCCUGGGCUGACCAGGUUCAUUAAGGUUGAAGGGGGAUCCUGGGCUGACCAGGUUCAUUAAGGUUGAAGGGGAACCCUGGGCUGACCAGGUUCAUUAAGGUUGAAGGGGGAUCCUGGGCUGACCAGGUUCAUUAAGGUUGAAGGGGAACCCUGGGCUGACCAGGUUCAUUAAGGUUGAAGGGGGAUCCUGGGCUGACCAGGUUCAUUAAGGUUGAAUGGGGCAGUGGGGUGUUGGCUCGCGUUAGAAGGUGAUAAAUACACCAAAAGCUCAUGGCACUUUGCAGGAAAUCUUUUAAAACAAAAAGCAUUGAAAUGUGAAAAUAGCAUCUUCCUGUAUUUUAAACAUGUCAGACUUUUAGAUGUCCCAAAUGCUUCAAUUUAUUUUACCUUUUUUCAAAAUGCAUACAUUUAUAUUUAACAAUGUUACGUUCUGUAUAUAACUUGUAAAAUAUGACAUGAUUGUAUGUUCAUUGUAAAUACAUUAAAUACUAUUUUAGUUUU